rnacentral:lncRNA from 1 species
AUGUCUGUUUCCCUCUCAGCUUUGAUCAGAAUGGGAGAUCUGUUCUAUGGUGAACAGGCUUUGGGCAGAAAAGAGGUUUCUGAUGCAGCAGAGAUGUACAAGCAAGCAGCACUCAAGAAAAAACCACAGCGUUGGUAUAAUCUUGGCCCGCUUGUCCAAAAUGGAGAGUCUCUGCCGUUCGGUGUGCUUUCUGAGCUUAAUUUGCUCCAUCUUCACUUAACAGACAGACAGAAGCUUCUCAGCACCCUUUACCAAAGAUGUCAAGAGACCAAUAGCACUGAUCCCUACCUGCCCUACACACUGGCACUGUUCAGCACACACCUGCAAUCUAUACAGCUACAUCAGGAUACAUAAAGCUCAUUGCUCAUUUGUCUUUUGUAUUUGGACUAAUUAAAUGAAGGACAAAACACUUCACCAAACAUCUGCUUCCAGCCAAAUCCAAGGGGAGGAAGAGGAGGAAUCAUAAAGAAAUCCACUACAUAAUUUUAACUACUACACAACUUAAUAUUUUUUUUUAAACAAGUCUCGAUAUUGUAUAUGGUUUUCCUCCAUGUAUGUUUUAUUAAGAGAAAAAAAAAUGCAGUAUAACUUGAAAUUUUGUUGUAAAAGAAGCACAGUCUAACAGUCUACACAAUUCUGUUUAAAUAAAGCAAUAUACAUUCAGCUUGUAUUCAGGUGGAAGGGAUAGAUCACCCAAAAAUGAAAAUCCUGUCACUGAUUCACCCUCAAGUUGUUCCAAAACUGUAUGAGUUUCUUUCUCCUGUUGAACAUAAAAGGUGUUUCAAAGAAUGUUACAAGGUAACAAAUCAGUUGAUGGUAGCCACUGACUACCAUAGUAUGGAAAAAAAUACAGUCAAUGUCAAUUGUCAACUGCUGUUACUGAAAUCCUUUAAAAUAUGUUAUUUUGUAUUUUAUAUCAAAUUUAUGGUGAGCAAAUGAUGACGGCGGACUAUCCCUUUAAACUAGUGGAUAUAAUGUAAAUGAAUUUUUAAAGUACUUUUAAAAAUGUAAGAUUUAAGAUACCUUUCUCCCUCAUUUUUGUCACUUAAAUAAUCAGAAUUUCAAAAAAUGAUAAGUAAUAAGUAAUAUAAAGUAAUAUAAAUAGUUCUUCUGAAUAAAAUAAUAUAUAUAUAUAUAUAAUUUUAAUUCCUGUUGUUUCUGAUGUAUAAUUUCUUCUGAGAGUUCUGGCUGUACCACUUUGAUGUCUCAAGAUUAACUCAUUUUUCCCUUUCUUGGAGUCGGGCCACUCUGCCUGUGUCUAAUGAAAGAGUGCAAGGACUCCCCAGGCUUCUUUGCAGACUGAUGCAAACAGCAGGUGUGCAGCAGGCUGUGAUGUGCCUACGGCCACACCGGGGCCCCGGGAGCACACACCGCAGCUCACACUUAAUUAAAACAACACCAAAAAGCAGACUAAUCCUCAGAGAGAGGGAGUGCACCACAUUGUGUCAAGUAUCCAAUCAUCAGGGGAUGGUAAUCUUAUUGCGUUUACAUGCAAAUAAUGUGAUGCUUACUGUGAGACCCAUUCUGGUGCCUCGUCAUGAUUUAUGCAUUUUGUUUGUGCUCUUGGGCUAACUUACAAUACACCUAAUAUAAAGAUAUUUAUUAAAAAGUUUUUCUAAAUUGUUUAGGGAAUAUGCUGGAUUCGCCCCACCAUUCAAUCACUGUAAUAGCUAAAGAAACAUAUUUUAAAGUCCUCAAUCAUCAUAAAAAAUCAUCAUAAAAAAAUUGCGUCUGAGCUGUCUUUCUCCCCGGCUGGCUUUUAUAUAUAAUUGCUGAGCUAAAAGGCACCAGAGGAGUGUUAGAUAUUUGCCACUUUUGGUAAAAAAUAGGGCUUGCAAAUCCGAUGUGUAAGUCAAAGUAAGUGAAAGGAGGUGCUUAGUCUUUCAAAUAUGUUUUUCAUCCAUACCAGGAAUUCAAACUAAAUGUUAGCUUUAUUAUUAUUAUUAUUAUUAUUAUUAUUAUUAUUAUUAUUAUUAUUAUUAUUAUUUUGCAUUACCAAAUGUUGCUUUGCAUGGUAGUUAUGAUUAACUUUUCCAAACGUUUUACAAAUAUAUAUUAAUUUGAUCCAAUUAAAAACAGAUACUUUAAUUUGUU